CUAACAAAGCUAUUGGGCCCAUACCCCAAAAAUGAUGGUUUAACCCCUUCUCCUACUA
rnacentral:tRNA from 1 species